CGAGCUCUUGGGUCAUUUCCUUGCACUCUGAUGAUAUCAUAUCCCAACUUGCUUAUUUGCUCAUCUUUAUUUGUUGCUCUAUGUACAUUUAACAGUUGGAAGUACUUAUGUAUUGACUAAACAGAGUAUCAGAGAGUUUUUAUACUAUGGCAGCUUAGGGUUCUUGAAAUAUUUGACAUAAUUAACAUUUCAAUGAAUCAGCUAAAGUUCACCCAAAUGUGACUCCUGAGAUCCUUUGCUCUUUUGAAUAGAUAUUUAUGAACAUGGUUCUGUUUCUCUCCAAAGGCCUGUCAUGUGACCCUCUCGGUAUUCUUUGAAUGACCCAUGAGACAUACCUAAAUGUGGGAUAAAUGCAAUUGAUCUGGACAUGGAGAACUCAAUAGGCACUUCCUUUUCAAUGUGCAAGAGAGUUGUUACAUUUCCCUUGUUCCACUGUGAAUAUCAAAUAUUUUCUUCCCUCCAAAAACUGUAAGUUGUGGCCAGGUUUUCACAUAUUUUUUUCUCAUUUAUGAAAAGUC
rnacentral:lncRNA from 1 species